CUCUACCGCUGAGCUAAAUCCCUAACCCCUGUGUGUGUGUGUGUGUGUGUGUGUGUGUGUUGAGACAGUCUCAUUACAUAGCACCGGCUAUCCUGAAAGUCACUGUUAGACUUCAUUUGCCCUUUUGUAGACUGGUUGGUUCCCCUGCUCCUUUCCCAUCUCUUUACUAGCCUUCCCUACCUGUGCCUUCUGCCUGAGUAUACUCUUUCCAAUUUCUCAUCACAUGUGUGCUGUGACCCUCUCCAGUGCCCUUGAAACCACUUUCUCCUUUUUUUUUCCCACUUUCUCCUUCUAAUAGUCCUUUCUCCUCUGUCCCUUUGUCCCCUCUCCCUCUCUCCUUCUCUCCCUUUCUCCCCUUUCUUCUCCCUCUCUCCUUCUCUCCCUCUCUCCCUCCCUCCCCAUCUCUCUUUCUUUGGUUUGAGGGAAGGGUAUCACAAUGUAGCCCAGGCUGGCCUGAUACUCUCUACUUAGACCAAGCUGGCCUCAGACUCACAGAGAUCUGCCUGUUUCUGCCUCCCGAGUGCUGGGAUUCCAGACGUGUGCCCCACACCCUGACCCCUUUCUAGUUUCUUGAUCUACAUCCAGUUGGUGACUCCCAAGUAUACACAUGUAUAAAAUUAGAAGCUUGGACCUGUGUAGGAGAAACCACAUAUAAUGCUUGUCUCUCUGCAUCUGUUGACACCAUGCUUUCCAACUCUCUCUGUUUUCUGCCAAUUUCAUUUUUCUUUAUGGCAGGAUAAAAAUCUGUCCUGUGUAUGCGUAGAGGUCAGAGGACAACUUGUGGUAGUCUGUGUUCUUUUUCCAGUAUGUUGGGCCUGGGGAUUGAACUCAGGUGAUCAGGCUUGACCACAAGCACCCUGUCCUGGAGAGCCAUCUCAUUGGCCCACAUUUAUUUUCUUGACGCAAUCUUUUAUUCUAAGACAGGAGGUGGUGGCCCAUGCCUUUAAUCUUAGCACUUGGGAAGCAAAGUGGGGAAUCUCUUGUGAGUUCAAAGCCAGCCUGGUCUAAAGAGCAAAUUCCAGGACAGCCAGAGCUACAUAGAGAAACCCUGUCUUGAGAGACCAAAACCCCAAAAAACAAACAAAACAAGACAAAACCCACAAAAACAAAACCCCCAAAUCUUUUAUUCCUAAAAUGUUAAUGUGAUUUGAUAUUUAAUAAACAGAGUAUUCUUGAUUGUAUGAGUAUAAAGUAGAUAUAAGCAGUAUGAUCAUGACAGAAAACAGGCACCAGGCAUGGUGGUGUAUACAUCUGUACUCCCAGCCAUUUGAGACACUCAGGCAGGAGGCUCACAAGGCUACACAAUGAGACCUUAUUUCAAAAACAAGCAAAUGGCCCAAACACAACAAUAGAAAAAGGGAGGGGUUUCCAUUUUAUUAGUUAGUAAUAGGCUAUGUCAGUCUGAAAGAAAUACUUUAUAAACAAGUGAAUAAAUAAAUAUAGGAAUGAAAUAUCCUAAUAAUAAUAGCUAUUAUUACUAUUAAUGUACUAUGCCUUAUGGAGUUUCUUGUGUAGGAUCUAGUUAUUCUUCUCCCUCUGUGUGAUUUCUUUAAAACUAUGUGUGCACUGUUAUAGUUGGUCUUUUCGUGGGCUGGCCACAUGACUCAUGCUACCAAGACUGACAACCCAAGUUCCACCCAUGAAGCAAUUCUUGGCACAUACGUGAUAGGAGAGAAAUUACAACUGAAAGCUGUUAGCCACCAUGUGUGACCUAGUACAUGCUGACAUACAUAAAUACACGAAAAAUAAAAUAAUAAACAAAAAGUGGAUCUCCUCAUUUGGAGGCCCACUUUGACUCUGUGUGGCCCAGGUAAAGGCCGCCUUUAAGUCCGAUGGGGUGGUGGCUUGACUAGAACGGCCCUCAUAGGCUCAUAGGUUUGAAUGUUUGGUCACCAGGGAUUGGUACUAUUAGGAGGUGUGGCCUUGUUGGAGCAAGUGUGUCACUGGGGGCCGGCUUUGAGGUUUCAAAUGCUCAAGUGAGGCCUGGUCUGUCUGUCUGUCUGUCUGUCUGUCUGUCUGUCUCUCUUUGCCUCUUGCCUGCUGAUUCAGAUGCAGAAUUCCCAGCUCAUUCUGCUGCACCAUGUCUGCCCACACACCACCAUGCUCCCCGCCAUGAUGAUAAUGAACUAAGCCUCUAAACUGUAGGCCAGUCCCAACUAAACGUUUUCCUUUAUAAGAGUUGCCAUAACCCUGGCAUUUCUUCCCAGCAACGGAACACUGACUAAGAGAGCCGUUAAUCUCUUUUCUGAUGUUCAGGAAUGUUUUUGUUAGUGAGAAUAACGAUGACAGCGCCACUCUGCCGUAAGUGGGCUUAUUACAUCCACUUCGGUCAGCCCUUGAGGACGUCUGUAACAUUGGAGGGCAGAGCUGCAGACCUCUUGUCUAGUAGGUGGCAGACCCAAGGUGUGGCUCUAGGGCUCACAUCCCUGCACCCAAGCUAAGAGGCUGUUCAGUUGUGCAAAUCUUUGUGCUGUGAGGAACUCCUAAAGGUUUGUGUCCUGGACCCUAUUGGUGGAUUCAGUCUUGGCAAGCUCCCGCUGGAGGACCUCAACCCUUCUUUCCCUUGUGGCUGGUUUUCUGGGGCUUCCCUUGUGUUCUCUAUGCAUUUUAUCCAUCAUAUUUGCAUACCACAAACCUGUUUUUGCUGGUUAGAACUUCCUUAGGAGAAAAGAAUUGUAUGCUGUUAAAGUAAACUGUCUCCUUAGCUCUGCCAUGAUCACCAAAACACCCCCCAAAAUGAUCUAAGUAGAAACCAAUAUGCUUGCUACGGAGAACCUAUUUUGAGGUAAGCUUCUUCCUUUCAGGACUAGACUAGGGCCAUCAACUUCUUCUACGUGGGAAAAUGUCACAACGUCAUGACAUCACAUUGAGCACUGUACCUCCAUUCUCCUAAAUGACAGAGCAUCAGCAGUCAAUGAACAAGAACUUUUAUUUUAUUUUUUAUUUUUUGCUAGACACUGUUCUUAGGCUCUGGAGUCACAGCGGUGAUCAAAACAGUUUGACGACGUGCGAAUGCUAUGGGAUGAUAAAAUUUAAUGUCAUAUAGUCUACACUCUGUGCUGACAAGUGAGGUAAAGUACUAGGGAUGGAAACAGAUGGAGGGAAGUCAGUUUUGAGGCUUAGUGUGUACAUAACAAGCACUCAUGACUACCAGGAUGAAAGCCUAAGAUUGACAGGUGUGGUAGUACAUGUCUAUAAUCUGAACAUUCAGGAGGCUGAGACAGAAGAAUUGGAAGUUCGAGGCCAGCUUGAACUGCAUAAUGGGAUUCUGUCUCAUUAAACAAAAAAAGAAAGAAAAGAAAGAAAAAGAAAUUGAACCCAUGAGUCAUCGAGACAGCUCAGUGGUAAAGGCCAUUGCUGGCAAGCAGGACAACCCAGUUCCAUUCCCCCAGGACUGACGCCGUGGAAGGAGACAGUGUACUUAAGUUGGUUUCUGAGUUCCACGUGCAGACGAGGUUUCUAUUGCCAUGGUAAGACACUGACUAAAAGCCACUUGGAGAAGAGAUUGGUUAUUUUAUCCCACACUUCUAUGUAACGGUCUGCCAUCCAGAGAAGUCAGAGGCAGGCACUCAAGGUGGAAACCCGGAGGCAGAAAUUGAUGUAGAGACCACAGAGGAGUGCUCCACAAGGCACACAGCCUGCUUUCUCAUAGCACCUUAGAACCACAAGCCCAGGAAUGGCGCCACCCAUUAUGGGUUGGGCCCUAACCCCUCCCACAUCAAUCACUAUUGAAGAAAUGCCCCCAGAGACUUGCCUACAGGCUACCUUGAGAAGGCAUUUUCUCAACUGCAGUCCCUCUUCUCAGAUUACUCUAGCUUGUAACAAAAGACUGGCCCCACAUACACGGUGGUGCCCCCCCCCCAAGUAGAUGAAUAAAAUAAUAACAGGAAUUGGGCUUACUAUCCGAAAUGAGAAUCAGCUAUUAUAAUUCCAUUCUGAAGGGCGAAUGAACACUUGAGUAACUCAUGUUUGAAAGAAAGCACGUCUUCAGUCCCAGACAAACUUGAACCUCCUAGACUUUUUUUUUAAGAUUUAUUUAUUUAUUAUAUAUGAGUACACUGUCUCUGUCUUCAGACAGACCAAAGAGGGCAUCAGAUCCCAUUACAGAUGGUUGUGAGCCACCAUGUGGUUGCUGGGAUUUGAACUCAGGACCUCUGGAAGAGCAGUCAGUGCUCUUAACCACUGAGCCAUCUCUCUAGCCCACCUCCUAGACUUAAAAAAAAAAAAACUUGCCUCAAGAACUUGCUUACUGCAUUCACCAGGAAUGAUAGUUUUCAAGGUUAAGUUUACAUACGUCUUUUAAUUAGUGAAUUUGUUAAUAUUCCCCCUUGCAGACUGCUAAAGAGAGAUGGAUCUUGCGCUGGGGUGGCAGAGACUGAAGACAUUUCUUAGUAAAUUAGGCAUGCCAUCAGUGGCCAUAAUUGGGAAGCCAGCCAAGACGUAGCUCAGCCAGGACGUAUUCCAAUUUAUAGUCCCCCUGUGUCCCAGUCUGUCAUCAGAAGGGUGGCUUUGAAGCCUACUGCUUGGAAGCUAUGUUUGGUCGGAGGGCAACCACUAAUUAGGACAUUAUGUAUCUGAAGACUGUAGCUCUUUUCAAGCCUUUGCCAACUCCUAAGACAAAGAACUCUGAAAGGCAGGAUUGGGGCUUGCUUCCUGGCACUGGAGUGCCACAGAACCAGGCUCAAAUGUGGCUGGCAGGGAGAGGCUUCCCAGCCCCCACCACAGUCUUCUCUAUGAAGGGCUAGACCAGCACCGGCCCUGUACUGUAUUCUUGUCUUGCUUUACCUGGGUCUGCGUCUCAGGCUAGUUUGGGACCCCUUAAGAAAGGUCCUUCUUACUUGGGUGUGGUGAUAUAGCCUUGUCAUUCCGGCAUUUGGGAGAAUGAGCAGCUGGGAAGUGAGUUCCAAGUCAGCAUAUGGGCUACAGGAAGAGGUUAUCUGAAAAAAGGAGAGGAAUUUACUUAUCUGUCCUUUAACUCACAGCCGGACACAGGGCUAGCUUGGUGACUUGCUUGCUGAACUGAAUUUGGUAGCAACACCUAUCUGACUUCAGUGACUCUUGGGGGAAGAUGGCUUCAACAGUUGCAAAUCCAAAGAGGCAUUUAUUUUUGUGGCUCAGUGGUGGAGUGUUUGCCUAGCAUACAGGAAGCCUUAUGUUUUGUCUCCAGCACUAAAAAAUAUAAUGGCGCAGGCUUGUAAUUCCAGUACUGGAGAGAUGAGGUGGACACUGAAGAAUUAGAAGUUCAAGGCCAUCCUGUCAACCUUUGUGUUCAAGGCCUGCCUGGGAUCAAUGAGACUCCUGUCUCAAACCCCAGACCAAACCAGACCAGACCAGACCAGACCAGACCAGACCAGACCAGACCAGACCAGACCAGACCAGACCAGACCCGAGACUGCUUUGUGCUGACAGUUCAUUUCACGAAGUGGAGUGCCAAGGAAACCAGGUGCUGUUCUUGCUUCACAGCCGCUCCGUGAUGUGACAGGAGGGGUGGCUUGCUUAGUCUCGUGUUGCAGGUGCCAGCGGGUGCAGGGUUUCCCUUUGAAAAGACAUCUGUGCCACCUCCCUGCGCGAUGCUGUGCCUUGGCAGAGCCCCCAGCCUCUCGUUGGCACAGGAUGUUUUCUUGAUUUUCACAUUAUUCCAGGAAUGUCUAGCAGGCUCCCUCUUCAGAGUGCAGAGUUUGGUCUAGCCAAGGUGACUGUCACUCCCCACACCUCUUUCCUACUGGGGAGGGGGUGUAUCUGCAUCACCCCCUGGAGGAGAGACGCUCUGCCUGCUUUUCUUCAGCCUUGCUCAGGGAAGCUCACAAAUCGAAAGGACACUGUUGCGGUUGCUGUGGAACGAGACGCCCAAAGCAGCCUCUAAUGAAAUUUUAGGCCAGCAAAGGCCUGAUCGAGCAUUAGUAGCUCUAGGACUAUAACAAGAGAAAGAUAAAAAUAAAUAAAAAGCAGUGAGUACACUGCCUAUGUCUGUGGUCCUGGUCGCCCAGAGACUAACACAGGGCAACACUUGGGCCAGGAGUUUGAAGCUAGAGUGUGAUUUUGACACUGAUUGUUUUCUUCACGUUUAUUUAUUUAUUUAUUUAUUUAUUUAUUUAUUUAUUUAUGUUGCAUCCGUGCCAUGGCCUAUGUAUGGAGAUCAUGUCAUGACAACCUGUCAGAGUUAAUUCUCUUUUUUUUUUUUUUUUAGUUCUUUUUUUCGGAGCUGGGGACCGAACCCAGGGCCUUACGCUUCCUAGGUAAGCGCUCUACCACUGAGCUAAAUCCCCAGCCCCGUUAAUUCUCUUCUUUUACCAUGUGGAUUCUUUUUUUUUUUUUUUUUUAAGACUUGUUUAUUUUAUGUAUGUGAGUACACUGUUGCUGUCUUCAGAGGGCAUCGGCUCUCAUUACAGAUGGUUGUGAGCCACCAUGUGGUUGCUGGGAUUUGAACUCAGGACCUCCGGAAGAGCAGCCAGCGCUCUCAACCAUUGAGCCAUCUCUCCAGCCCUACCACGUGGAUUCUCAUGGAUUGAACUCAAGCUUGGUAGCAAAUGCUCUUACCCACAGAACCGUCGUGCCAGCCCAGAGACCCUGACAUUUAAGUAAAAACAAAAACGAAACAAAACAGAAAACAGAACCAACCCAGAAAGCGCUUCCUCUCACUAGAAUGGAAUAGAAACUUCCAUAUUGGGGAAGCCACAGGGUGCCAUGGAGAUGUGCUUUAUUUAGUGAGCCUCUCACUUAGGGUUUCUAUUGAUCUGACCCAAUGCAUGACCAAAAGCAACUUACUGAUCUCUCUUCCUCUUCCACAUCGUAGCCAGUUAUCAAAGGAUGCUGGGUUAGGAACCUGAAGGCAGGGACUGAAGCAGAGGACACAGAAGAACACCGACUCCUUGCAUCUUGAUCAGCCUAGAUUCUUAGACCAAUCAGGACCAUCUCACCAGCCAACACCCUGUCUUUUAUUUUUGAAGUUGGUUUCAUUUUGCCAUGCUGUGGGUCAGGAUGACCUUGAUUUCGAUAUCCCAGCCACCACCUCCUGAGUCCUGGCAUUACAGGUUAGCACCACCACGCCUGUUUUGUUUUUAACGUCCCCAGCAACAUGGACUGAAUGGUAGAGCCCCAUGCAUCAAAUCCUUGUGCUAUACGGGGACAUUGGAUCAAGCUGCAGAACCUGCAUUUGCAUGGUAACCCCGAGUGUGAGGAUGUGGCAGUCAGAGGGACACAGCCAACUUCAGCCCUCAUUCAAGAUGCAGGGGCUCAUUGGAACCGGGUGGACUGGUAGGAAUAGUACAACCAGUGUGCCCUGCCUGACUGCCCCUUUUCUUGUCUCUUCUACUUCAUGAAGUCUUUAAGAGCCUUGACAUUCCGGAAAGCAUCCGGGACUGGACAAUGAGGUUCAAGACAAAGCCAGCUUCAGUGAUGCCGGCCCUCACCAUGGAAGGGAACGCGGACAGAAUUCACCAGCAAUUAAUCAGGUCAGCAUCCAUUCAGCUCCAGGUCUAAGCAAGGCUAGGAAUGAGUAACGAGGAACCCCAGCCACUCUCUUCGUUCUGACUGAGUGAACCAGUAACCUCCACCACACCGGCACCCAUCUUCUGUCUCCUGGCACAGGGAGGGAGAGCCAGGAAGAAAGAGUAGGUGGAGGCUGCACUUUCAAAUUUAGACCCUUGGAAAUUUAACAGGAAGCAGGGACAUGCAGCCAUGGCCUGAGCUAGACACUUACAAAUGUGGCCUUUGCAAAGCCACCAAAGUUUUCGUUUCACUUCUUCUCCUCUGGCAGCCAUACAAAUUAAAAAUUAACAAGUGGAAUUUGAACUUGUGUAAAAAAAAAAAAAUGACUCAAGAACAAAGUCCCAGAAGUCUUCUUGUAAUUUUUGUUAACUGAUUCACUUAACAGGGGGAAGAAGACACAAAAGCAAAGGUUAAGCAGGAAAUCUUACUUUUUUCUAGAUAUUUUCAUCUUUGUAUCUAUUGAAAGUUAUUAUAUUGAUCAAGAAAUGUAUUAUAAGCUGGGCAUGGUUGUGUACAGGGUCCUGUAAGUCCAGCACUUAGGAGGCUGAGGCAGGAGGAUGGAGGGUUCAAGAGGCAGUCUGGACUAUAUAUAAAGUUUGCAGUUCAGUCCGUGUUUAGCAAGUUGUGGGGGGUUGGGAGGAGACUGAGACAGAGAGAGUCAGAGAGACAGAGAUGGAAAAAAGCAGAGAGAGAGACAGAGAGAGACAGAGAGACAGAGAGACAGAGAGACAGAAAGACAGAGACAGACAGAGAGAAAUCAGACAGACAGAGGAAGAGAGACAGAGACAGGCAAAGUGAGUACUGAUUUUGAGAAGUAAACAGAAAUUACUAGAUACUCCUUGGAGAAGGACUUGGUAUCUAGGAAAACCGUUAAGAUGACUCACUGAAGUGUGCUGUCUUAAUUAGGGGUUCUACUGUUGGGACAGAACUGUGACCAAAAUCAACUUGAGAGGAAAGGGUUUAUUUCUUUCUCCAGCUUGUAGUCCAUCUUCCCAGGAAGUCGGAGCAGGAACUCCAGGCAGGAGCUGAUGUAGAGGCUGUGGAGCGUCUGCUUAUAACUGUCUUCAUGGCCUGCUUUCUUACAGUAUCCAGGACCACCAGCCCAGGGGUGGCACCAUCCACACAGCUGGGCCCUCACAUCAAUGCUCAACCAAGAAAAUGUGCCAAUUCAGUGAGGGCAUUUUCUUAAUUAAAGUUACCUCUUCUAAAAUGCCUCUACCCCGGUUCAAGCCAGAACAGUGCCCUCCCCGACUGCUGUUAAUCUGGGUUGAGCUGGGCGGGAUGAGACAGCCUUGGUAGAAGAUACCUCAGGUAUCCACUUUCUCUGAGGAGACAGGGGCAUUCAGUUACAGGAUGGUGGGAUACCAACCCCCUCCAACCCACACCUCCUCUGGCUUUGUUUUAGGUGCGUGGCGAACUGACUUAUUCGUACAUGAAAAUGUGAAAGGUUUGGCUGGAAAGCUGAUUUUAAUGCAGGCUACUGAACUUUCUUUUCUUUUCUUUUUUUUUUUUUUUUGGUUCUUUUUUUCGGAGCUGGGGACCGAACCCAGGGCCUUGUGCUUCCUAGGUAAGCGCUCUACCACUGAGCUAAAUCCCCAGCCGCUACUGAACUUUCUAAGGGCUACGGGAACUAAGAAUUUAUCUAGACCUUACAGAUAGUGAAAUGACCUUUUAAAAUAAAUCUUUAUUAUCUAUGUAUCUAUGCAUCUGUCCGUCCGUCUGUCUGUCUAUCGACAGGGUCUCAGUGUGUGACUCUGGCUGUCCUGGAACUCACAAUGUAGAUCAGGCUGGCUUUGAACUCAUAAAGUGCUCUCCCUGCCUCUGGGUCCUGAGUGCUGGGGUUACAGCAGUGCACCACUCUGCUGGAAGGGUGAGACCACCUUUGAACGAGACUUGUUUCACAUCAUACAAGCAGAGAAGUCUGACUGGGAGACACCCGAGCUCCGCAUCUGUUAUCCAGCUGCUAGCGCCUCCCAUUUCUCUCAUUUGUCCUCAGCUUUCUCCUCUUGAUAUUUUCUGGCCAUAAAAAAAAAAAUUAAUAUGUCAACGUCUGAAGCUGAACCCUUUGUGCCACUCCAGUUUUCAUUCCCUCCCUGGUUUAUUUUUGACGCCUUGACACUUGGCAAUCUGACAUGCUAAUUAAUUAAUGUCAUAAAGCCCGGCCUUUUGUUUUUUCUGCAGAUGCGUCUGGUGCACACAGCAGGUGCCUCAUAAGCACCUGAAUGGAUGGACAGUAGCAGACACUGUAGCUCACACCCACUUCAUGCCUUUAGUUUUAUUCCGAGCUGCUCACUGUGGGGUGAUUGGCUUUGUGGUGGGCAAACGGUGAGGGGAUACAACUGGCGUCCUCGAGGAAUGAUCAGUGCUUGCAGAGAGCCUGGAGAGGGACACCAGCCGAUGUUCUCAGAGCCUAGCGUCAUGGUGCACACACAUAAUCCCAACCCUUGAGAGGAUAAGAAGGCAGACCCAAGAGCCUGAGGCCACCUGAGCUGUAUAACAAGAACCAAAGAAGCUACAAAGACAAAGCUCAGCGGAACAGUACUAGCCUAGCAUGCCUGACGCCCUGGAUUCCUAUCCCCCUGCACUGUCAAGAAAAGAGACCCCUGAAAGCCCAUUCCAGCACAUUUCUGUAACAUCACCCAGUUCAAGUGAGGAACCAUUCUCAGUAUCAGGGACUUUUCUAAAAGAAAAAUUUCCUAGGAAAAAUUUGGUCUCCCCGAGAGCUCUCUGUAGCUGGAAACAUUGAUAGACAAGUAGUCUUGUUUAACAGAGCUCCGGCUAGGACUAGCAAGCUCCCCACUUGGGCACCCUUCGGACCUUAGCCCUCUUCUGGGCUGUGGUGGAUAGUCUUCCUGUGGAGCAGAGGAAGACCUGAGCCAGUGAAGUGUAUUUUGACACGGGCAUGGCUGUGUCAAGGAAGCCCAAGGCCUUGGCCCAUGGGACAAUUGACAAAGCCAUCCCUCCUAUGGCUCAUGCUCAAGAGAAAUAGCCAAGCUUUUCUCAGGAAUCUGAGUGUGAGUGGUUAUGGAUGAUUGAUCAAGGUAUGCAAAGACUUGGAACUAUGGCUUCCUUCUCCUGGGUGUUUACAGCCUGAGACUGCUGACUACAGAGACCUCCCAAAGAGACAAGUUAACCUUUGCCCACCCCUUCCCCGUGCUGUACCUAAUUAGCACAUUGGGGAUACAGCUUGCUGUUAGCAGAACCCUUCCUGGUCCGAGCUUUACUGCAUGAGUGUCUGUGUGUCUGUCCUUUCCUCAUUACUAUGGUGCCACUCCUUGCCAGGGUGAUUGGACCCAAGCCAUGAAGGUUGGGUGGGAUUGGAUUAAGAGCCCCAUAGAGAGAUGACGUCUAAUCUUCUGGGCGUGACCCUGUGAGUGUUUCCAGAGAACAAUUAGCACGUGGGUGAGUGAACUAAGAGGGUAGAGACUCUGUGUGAGACUGUGAUGACGCCACAGGCUUUUACAAAUUUGUCCAGAUGUGUAGACUAUAGAACACCAUGAGCGGAGUCUAAUGAACAUCAAGUACAGUGAGUGACAGUGGUGUGCUGUUAUGAGUUCAUCAGUAACAAAUAUAUCAGUCUGAUGAGGACGCUGAUAUGAGGAUGCUACACAUGGGUGGAGGCAAGGAACAUAUGGGAAAUUCCAGUACCCUUUUUUUUUUAAAUUCAAAUUUACUAUCAACAUAAACUUGCUUUAAAAUUGUAGUCUUGGUCUGGAGAGAUGUCUCAGCAGUUAAGAGAGCUGGCUGCUCUCCCAGAAGACCUGGUUUGGUUCCCAGUACCCACACGGUGGCUCACAGCUAACUGUAGCUCCUGUUCCAGGGGAGCUGAUGUCUUCUGAUCUCAGUGAAAGUCAGGCAUGCAUGUGGUGUCCAGACAGGCAUGAGUGCAAAACACCUUAAAAAAAAAAUAGAAUAAUAUCUAAGAACUAAAUAAAAAGAACUGCUCUUGA